rnacentral:rRNA from 1 species
UACGUAGGUGGCAAGCGUUGUCCGGAUUCACUGGGCGUAAAGCGCGCGCAGGCGGUCUUCUACGUCUGGGGUGAAAACCCGGGGCUCAACCCCGGGACUGCCUUGGAUACGGGAAGACUUGAGGAUCGGAGAGGCAAGGGGAAUUCCACGUGUAGCGGUGAAAUGCGUAGAGAUGUGGAGGAACACCGGUGGCGAAGGCGGCAUCCUGGACCGAGAUCGACGCUGAGGCGCGAAAGCUAGGGGAGCAAACGGG